UCAUGGAGUGUCACAUGACACGCUCAGGUCACAUGAUAAAAUGACAGACAAAUAAAGUCAAACUCAGCAGAGCUCAGCAGCGUUAUAUCCACUCCACCGGAUCCAGUUUUACUCUGAUAUCUUCACUGGUCUCGUGAGAAUACCCGCAAGAAAGUCUUUCAUGGGUUUGCAUCUGAAAAUUUAAAGAGCGUUAGUUUUGUGGAUCAACAAUCACACACAGAAUGGUGCGUGCGGGUGUCGUAGUGUUAUUAUGUGUGUGUCUGAAUGUGUGUGGCGCUCUGAUUUGUCCUGAUGGAGGGAUG
rnacentral:lncRNA from 1 species